AGCCCAAACCUAAACCAGACCCAUUACAGCGGACCCAAACAGACCCACCUAAUACCAAUAAACUCGAAGGCCCAAAUAGUAGGGGCCCAAAUGACUUUCAGAUAGGGUUAAAAACCAUAGCUCUCUUUCUCCUCGAGUCGCAAAGGAUUCUGGAUGCUUCAGGCGCCUCAGACGUCAUGUCCAAUAAGCGCCCUUUCGUUUCACGAAACUCCAGAACUUUCGGGGAGCGUCUGUUGGCCUCAUGUCAAGGCUCCAUCAGCGCCACGACUUUCUCCUUGACCUUAGCUACUGGAUGUCGCGCCAC
rnacentral:lncRNA from 1 species